rnacentral:misc_RNA from 1 species
CAGAGUUGCAAAACUCCCACAAACCAUCGCGAAUCUUACCCGUACGGUUGUCUCGGCGCUGGCGGUCCGGAAGGCCCUCGGGCCCCCCGGAUCCUCGGGUCUCCCGCUCGCGGGAGGCUGCCCGCCGGAGUGCCGAAACCAAACUCUUGAUAUUUUAUGUCUCUCUGAGUAAACUUUUAAAUAAGUCA